CUACGUGCCAGCAGCCGCGGUAAUACGUAGGGGGCGAGCGUUGUCCGGAAUUACUGGGCGUAAAGGGCACGCAGGCUGUGCUUCAAGUCAGCUGUAAGAGGAUGCGGCUUAACCGUGUUAUGCAGUUGAGACUGAGGUGCUGGAGUACCGGAGAGGCAAGUGGAAUUCCCAGUGUAGCGGUGAAAUGCGUAGAUAUUGGGAAGAACAUCGGUGGCGAAGGCGACUUGCUGGACGGUAACUGACGCUGAGGUGCGAAAGCCAGGGUAGCGAACGGGAUUAGAUACCCCGGUAGUCCUGGCUGUAAACGAUGAAUGCUAGGUGUGCGAGCAGAGAUGUUGGUGUGCCGCAGUUAACGCGAUAAGCAUUCCGCCUGGGGAGUACGGUCGCAAGAUUGAGACUCAAAGGAAUUGACGGGGGCCCGCACAAGCGGUGGAGCACGUGGUUUAAUUCGAUGCAAACCGAAGAACCUUACCUGGGUUUGACAU
rnacentral:rRNA from 1 species